UCCGUCUGUCUGUUUCUAUGCGAACUAGCUUAUCAAUUUUAAAGCUAUCGUUGGAAGUCCAAAUUAGGUAUUUAUAAUGCUAUUCUAUGCUUACUAACGAUCGGUUUUUAUAUUAUAUUGUUUAGCCUAGCGCCCAUUGAGCUUGGUGGUCAGCCGCUCGGCAGCUGCCCCCUCUGGGUCCAGCUGUCCUCGCUGGGCUGAUGUUGAAAUCGACAAUAUGUACUCUGGGGUGCUUGGAUUAUCAGCUGGAAUGCCGUCACGUUAAGCGUCGUCGUCGCCCCAGCGCUAAACAAGUGCAUUUGCAAUUUGACUGCCUUGUCCCUGCCCGUCAAGAUCCCUGCCUAAACAACUCGAGUUAAAGUUUGUUAAAUUGAACAUUACACACAAAAUCCGACACACAGCCAACAAA